rnacentral:tRNA from 1 species
GCCGCGAUAGCUCAGUUGGUAGAGCGCAUCCAUGGUAAGGAUGAGGUCUCGGGUUCGACUCCCGAUCGCGGCUCCA